rnacentral:rRNA from 1 species
CCUACGGAUGGCUGCAGUGGGGAAUAUUGGACAAUGGGGGCAACCCUGAUCCAGCCAUGCCGCGUGUGUGAAGAAGGCCCUCGGGUUGUAAAGCACUUUCAGUGAGGAAGAACGCCUGGUGGUUAAUACCCAUCAGGAAAGACAUCACUCACAGAAGAAGCACCGGCUAACUCCGUGCCAGCAGCCGCGGUAAUACGGAGGGUGCGAGCGUUAAUCGGAAUUACUGGGCGUAAAGCGCGCGUAGGUGGCUUGAUAAGCCGGUUGUGAAAGCCCCGGGCUCAACCUGGGAACGGCAUCCGGAACUGUCAAGCUAGAGUGCAGGAGAGGAAGGUAGAAUUCCCGGUGUAGCGGUGAAAUGCGUAGAGAUCGGGAGGAAUACCAGUGGCGAAGGCGGCCUUCUGGACUGACACUGACACUGAGGUGCGAAAGCGUGGGUAGCAAACAGGAUUAGAUACCCGGGUAGUC